UCAGAGUAUGGGUCCCAUUUUGGAGUGGCAGCAAGUUAGACCUAUAGAGCCACACGUUGCCAGAUUCACCAAUUUUUCAAAAGUAGCAAGCAGUUUUUCCCCUGUGCUUUUAAAGAGAAAGUCAACUACAUUUUUAACACUGAGUAGGAAAAGCAAAAACAUGUCCAUGUACCACCAACAUAUCCUAUCUGAGUUGUCAUGAGAAAUGCCAGUUACUUCAGCUUGUAUUAGUAAGGACAUUUUGGGCUGCAAAUUCGUUGAAAAGCAAGGAUAUCGAUAGUUUGUUUUGCAGUCCCAAGGAUGAUUCACCAGCUGAAGGAUGGCUUCUGGGACUCAGACUAUUUCUUUUUCCUCUUUUCUCCCAGUGUCAGCAUUCGUCUUUUUAUCCUUGAACUUGUUGCGUCAUGAAUGAGACAGCUCCUAACAGGUCAUCUUCACCCAACCACAUCAAAACAGACAAGAAAAGAGCUUGUCUGCCUUGCCUCUGCACCUUCAUCGAGGAGGAACUGUUUCUUCCCCAGAACACCCAAGAGACCAGCUCUCACCUCAUUGGCCAGCACUGGAUAGAGCAUAAGGGAAGCUGGGAAGUUAAUUCUAGACCAUAAAUUCCAAGUGACAGAGCCAUGGCAUAGAUAAUCUAAGUGAAUAUUUGAAGUGUCUCAGUUCUGGAUGGAGUUGAGUUUGAAGAGAUAUAGUUCAACCAGUUCUGGAUGAAGUGGGUUUGAAGAGGUAGAGUUCAACAGCCAAAGGUAACUUUUAAAGUAUUUAGUUUCUUACUAGCAAUUAAGAAAGAUCCAUUUCAAAACCAUUACCAGCACUUUUCAACCACAAUCCUUCCAUUUUCAGUAUCCUUCUACCCAGAAGAACCUCCAAGUUUUAUACAUGUGAAGACUCCAAUGAGUCCUCGGCUCCCAGCCCAGGGAGUCUUUCUCUCCCUCUGCUCUGGCCCCAAAACCCUCUUCUUCACAACGAACAGCAAUCUGACCUCCUAAAUUCUUAGUAAAAUUCUUUCCCUUCUGGGGAGGAGGUGAUCAGGAGGGAAGAGAAUCUCAAUUCAACUUUUCUGAAUGCUCUUUUUCAAACUGCUGUGGUAGGAGUAGCCCUCAAUCAACCGUAGUGUUUUUUUCCACCUUCUUCGUAUUUUGUCGUGGUGUAGGGACAGAGUUCAUCCUAUCUGUUCUAAGAUAUUUGUUCUCAUUGAAAAGUGUAUAUGAAACAAGAUAAAAAGAAGAUGAUUGUACUCAGUCCCUUUUACUUUUAUUGUGGUAUAUUAAUGUUUGUCUUCACUCCUAAGACACUCAUCUUUUUCCUGUUUCCCUGUCAUUCAUUUUCAGAAUUUACAAU
rnacentral:lncRNA from 1 species